rnacentral:lncRNA from 13 species
AUUUAAAGAGUACAGAUGUUCUGAAUAUAUUGUUUUAGAUUAAAGGAACACUCUACUGUGAUACCUCCAACUACUAAAUGGCUUUAUUUAGUCAUAGUUCUGAAAUCUAUUACUUCAAAGAAUUUGAUAAGAUAGUUAUCUUGAAGUUGGAUCAGAGGAAGAUACUGUCCUUAAGUUAAAUUAUGGAAUAUAUCAUAAAAGGAUGAACUAAAUGCCCCAUUCAACUUCUUACUACCAUAUUAUUAAAGCAAUAAUAAUUGCAUUUGUAACACAGCAUGAGAAGUGUUGAAUAACAGUCUUUCGAAAAUGGCCAGUGGUAGUGAUACAGAUGCAGAAAUCUUGGGAAAUGCUAUGUAAAUAUUUGAGGUCAGAAUUUGGUUUGAAGUGUUUAGAAAAAGGAACAAGAUAUUUAAAUGAGACAAAUUGCUUAGGGGGUUAAUGGAAACAGAUGGAUAGCAAUUAGAGGGAAUGCUAAGCACGAAGCACCACUGCAAAUAGUUCCCCGGCUGGAGAAGAGCAGAUGAUCUGAGCUUGGGUAUAGGAGGAUGGAGAAAAAAGAAGAAAUUGCUUACUCCAGCUCUUGUUCAACCUUUACAUCUAAGAAAAAAAAAAAUAAGAUAGAAGGCAACAAAGUAAAUGGAAGUCAUCUGUGACUCACAGUAUCUGCAUGAUUUAUCCUUUCUCCCCUUCUUCCCACCUCCCUCCCUCACCUGCUCUUCUUCAGUCUAUUUACUUCUUAACGGAAAGUCAGGAUUUGUUUUAUAGUUUCAUCAUUUUCUUCAUUUUUGUCAUAAAGGGCUACAAAGUUUUCUCACAACUGCAAUCUUUUUUUUUUUUUAAGGAGAGAAGGAAAGAAAAAAAAAGGAGUGGAGAAGAGGAAGAAAAAGAGGGAGAGAGAAUGGAAAUGUUGCUUUAUUCUAAAAAUGGGAAGUCUAGAAGAACUGAGUGAAACAUGAGGGGGAAGAGCUUAAUAUGGCUUAUAUUUACCAGGUGUAUGUUAUUGUUACCUCAUGGCAUGUAAUGGACCCUUCAUCAUGGAAACAGUGGAAAACAAGGAAGGCCUGGAUCUUACCCUCAUGGAGUUUAUAGACUAUUGCCCAUAUCUCUGGGAGGCAAAUUUGCAGUGUGAUUUUGUGUCUUUCUUUAAUCUCAUUUUCUG